rnacentral:rRNA from 1 species
AUUGAACGCUGGCGGCAGGCUUAACACAUGCAAGUCGAGCGAGCGGCGGACGGGUGAGUAAUGCAUGGGAAACUGACUGAUGGAGGGGGAUAAAUACUGGAAACGGUAGCUAAUACCGCAUACCAUCAGAUGUGCCCAGAUGGGAGUAGCUAGUAGGUGGGGUAAUGGCUCACCUAGGCGACGAUCACUAGCUGGUCUGAGAGGAUGACCAGUCAACCGUGACCUGCUACAACGUCCAGACUCCUACGGGAGUCAGCAGUGGGGAUUAUUGCACAAUGGGCGCAAGCCUGAUGCAGCCAUGCCGCGUGUGUGAAGAAGGCCUUCGGGUUGUAAAGCACUUUCAGCGAGGAGGCGUUACUCGCAGAAGAAGCACCGGCUAACUCCGUGCCAGCAGCCGCGGUAAUAC